GGUGAUCUCCGCCCGUGCUCAGAAUCCAGGGGCCCGGGGCUGUAGAUUCCUUGACAAGGAUAUCCUAGCGGCGAAACAACACCGUACUGGGAGUCAGAACGUCUGGGUUCUAGUCUUGACUGCCAUUAACUAGCGGUAUGACAUUGGAGAAGCUUUUUUGACCCUUCUGGAUUUCCGUUUCCUUUUCUGUAAAAUGAGGAGCUUGGAAGAUCCGGAAAAUGAGGCCCAUAGGAAACAAGUGACUUGCUGAGUCCAGAUAACACUGACUGUCAGAGAGAAACAUGAACCAGAAGCUACUGAAGUUGGAGAACUUGCUACGAUUUCACACUAUUUAUAGGCAACUGCACAGUCUGUGUCAAAGAAGAGCAUUAAGACAGUGGAGGCAUGGGUUUUCAUCUGCUUACCCUGUGUGGACAGCUCAACUGUGUGCCUGGCCCUGGCCAACAGAUGUGCUCACUGGGGCUGCUUUAUCUCAGUAUAGGCUUCUAGUAACAAAAAAGGAAGAAGGACCAUGGAAAUCUCAGUUAUCUUCAACAAAAUCUAAAAAGGUGGUAGAAGUAUGGAUUGGAAUGACUAUUGAGGAACUGGCCAGGGCAAUGGAAAAAAACACAGAUUAUGUAUAUGAAGCUUUAUUGAACACUGAUAUUGACAUAGAUUCACUGGAAGCAGACUCACAUUUAGAUGAAGUCUGGAUCAAAGAAGUGAUAACGAAGGCAGGGAUGAAGUUAAAGUGGAGUAAAUUAAAACAGGACAAAGUCAG
rnacentral:lncRNA from 1 species